rnacentral:rRNA from 1 species
CUCGGAUUAAUACCGAAUGGCCUCCAGGGUUUCCGGAUCCUGGAGAAAAGGUAGCUUAGGCCUCCGACCGAGGACGGGCCCGCGGCCGAUUAGCUUGUUGGCGGGGUAAUGGCCCACCAAGGCGACGAUCGGUAGCUGGUCUGAGAGGACGAUCAGCCACACUGGGACUGAGACACGGCCCAGACUCCUACGGGAGGCAGCAGUAGGGAAUCUUGCGCAAUGGGCGAAAGCCUGACGCAGCGACGCCGCGUGCGGGACGAAGGCCUUCGGGUUGUAAACCGCUUUCAGGAGGGACGAAGCUACUCGGGUUAAUAGCCCAGAGGGUGACGGUACCUCCAGAAGAAGCCCCGGCUAACUACGUGCCAGCAGCCGCGGUAAUACGUAGGGGGCAAGUGUUGUCCGGAUUUAUUGGGCGUAAAGAGCGUGUAGGCGGCCAUGUAGGUCCGAUGUGAAAACUGGGGGCUCAACCUCCAGCUGUCGUUGGAAACCAUGUGGCUAGAGUCCGGAAGAGGAGAGUGGAAUUCCUGGUGUAGCGGUGAAAUGCGCAGAUAUCAGGAAGAACACCUAUGGCGAAGGCAGCUCUCUGGGACGGUACUGACGCUGAGACGCGAAAGCGUGGGGAGCGAACAGGAUUAGAUACCCUGGUAGUCCACGCCGUAAACGAUGGGCGCUAGGUGUGGGCGGUGUCGACUCCGUCCGUGCCGCAGCUAACGCAUAAGCG